GUACCUGUUCAUGCGGGAAUAAAAGGUAAUGAAUGUGCAGAUAGUGGCAAAAACAGCACUAAGUACUAGACGUAUCACUGAUAUUCCAUUUGGAAAAGGUGAAGGCAAAGCACUAAUCAAACAGAAAAUAUCUUAAUUUUGGCAGAAGAAGUGGGAUGAGGACAGUACGGGUAGAACUUAUUAUGGAAUACAAAACACAUUCAGAGCACAGAGUAUUAAGGGACGAAGUAGAAGAGAGGAGGUAGUUUUAUCAAGAUUAAGGUCCGAUCACACUGGUUUAAAUUAGACAUUAUUUUUAUUGGGAAAAGUAAACUCAGAAGUUUGUACAGUUUGUAGUAAAAUAGAAAAAAUGCUGAACAUGUAAUUAUGCACUGUAUUAAAUAUAGCGAAGAAAGGGCAAGGUUGCAACAAAGGGUGAUAAAGGCAGGACGAGAUUGGAAUUUGGCAGGGAUACUGGGAACUAAGGGAGAUAAGGUGUGGGAGACGCAGAGAGGGGUAAUAGAGUUCCUAGGUAACACUGGUUUGUUUUACAGAAUAUAGCGGUUGAGGGUUGUUGUUUUUUUGUUUUUUUUUGUAUUUGUUUUGUUUUGUUUCAUUAUUAUUAUUCUAUAAUAUAAUUUAAUGGAAAACUAAAUCCUGUCCUUCAUACUCCGGUUCAGUAGGUGGCGGUAUGCACCUUUAAAGUUGGCAUUGCAAUCCGCCAGAAAACUCAAAGUAGAAGAAGAAGAAGACUCAGUUCCAGAUUGUUCUAUGCAUCAAUGACAGACUUUCCAGCGUUUGGACUGAUUUCCCUGCUUUGACCCUGCUUCACCCAGACUUCCCUCCCUCGUCUCUGCCACGCACUUGCCACAAAGUCCGAUAACCGAACAGUUGCCCGGGUCCACGCAGCUCUGUCAAGAUGGCACGUCUUGGGUGGACAACACAUCAACAAUCACGUCAUAAGGUCCUACCACUAAGUCCGGAGUGAACACAGAUGUGGAUCAAAGGGGAUGUCCAGCACCAUCAGGUAGGCCUGAGGACCAGCAUCCUAUCACUGUGUUACAGGACAUUAAUCAGAAGUAUUGGGAUGAGAGUUGUGCCUGCCCCUCUCCAGCGGUUGCACAUAAGCUCUAAGAUAAAGACUGGUUUCUUCCAUGUAACAGUUCUGUCUCGUUUUCCUGUCAAUGGCGUAGACUUCAUAAUGGGUAAUGAUAUUUUUGGGGGAAAAGUGUAUCUUACUCCUACAGAAUGCAGAAUACAAGUGGAUGCUAGCGCCUCUGGGGCCGGUGCUGUACUGUUGCAGGACGGUGAGGGUGAUGUGAGCCAUCCGGUGUGGUGCUUAUCACAAAAUACUAGGUGUUUGUACUUGUGGGGGGGGGGGGGGGGGGUGUUACGUAGGGGUACAUGUUUUUGUUGUGUGUCUCCUCCCUGUCUUUCUCCAGGUUGCUGCACCAGUGAUUAAUUAAGUGAGCACAGGUGUGCUAACUCUGUUCCUGGAGAAAUGGCAUGGAGGACACCCUGAGAUCUCUCUCACCUCUCUCCUCUCCUGCAUGGUGUGCAGACUGGCAGCUGACAGUGCUGCGUGAAAACCUGUGUGGUUUGUGGACCUUUUGGUUUUAAUCCUUUUUUGCCUAAAAAGGAGGGUGAUUAAGUUUUGCAGGUCUUAUUGACAUUGUACUCUAAUUAUUUAACCUUUUGUUUGUAUUCUCAUUAUAGAUCGGCCUCUGCCUGUUCGUGGCAAGCUCGCUUUUUGUUCAAGGUUCUGCAGAGCAGUGACCCUUGUUGUUUCUGUGUUACAAUUUAUUAAUAAAUUGUCCAACAAAUGUCUCCCAUCCUUCCUUCUACCUAACAUCAAUGGUUACUCCUUAAUCCAUAUUGGGACGUAACAGUAACGUUAGCCAACGUUACGUUAGCUUGUGAAUAAUUUAUAGCUAACAGUGUUCACCAGAUGUCUUCAUUAUAGUUGUGAGCAUGUGGUUUGAUGGCUUAUCUAUAUUAGCUUUGAAAGGGACGUAGGGAUCAAUACCUUGUAUGUAAUCUAACUAACGUCAUCUGAUUUUACUUUCCUUUUUGGGGAAAUUAUUAUGUUGUGUAAAAAAUACUACUUCAAUAAUACUGAAAGUAUUCUUUCUUACCCAGUAUUGACUGGGAAGAUGAUACAUGGCAGCCUGAUCAGGAGACUGAGUCUGUGUCAUGUUGGAGGAGGAUGAAACCAGGAAAGUUGACACAGGUCCAUGUUCGCUGGCCUGGAUUACAAUCAUCACAUACCCAGACCAGCCAAGAGAAAGGAUGAUGGCUCAAUUCCAAUAAUCCUAUCAUUUGAGUCAAGGCAAUAAUUUACAUUGAUUUGAGAAAGACAGGCAUUAGAUUUAGUGUGCUGAUGGCAUUUCAUGUGGAAAUGCAAAGUACCGUUCAAUGUAAGGUAAUAUUAACAUUUCACUAAGGUUGACCUCAGUUCUCUCAUGCCAGGUACGACAAGUUGUGCAUGAAGAAGUCAAGGACCUUAAGGUUAUAAAUACUGAAAGUUGCCUGCUAUGACGAGGGUGCCAUGGACCAGAGCAAUGAGGCCAGUCAAUCCCCGUCAACAUGGGGUUCUGUCAGGUGUCCCUCCCCCAUCCAGGAGCUGUUGGAGAAGCAAGUCAGCAAAGGACUAGGUGAAUCAGCUUACGAGACUGUAGGUUGAGAUGAAGUGGUAACUUGUGUACAAAAAGGAAUCUGCUGAGUGUCAGGAGCUACUGAUGGUUGGUUCUAAUUCAGCUCAACAGACUGUCGUCCAGGAUCUAUCUGUCUGUGUGUGUGAUACAACAGAGAAUGUCAAAUUGUUGUUGAAGGAAGCACUGGGAUUUAUAGAAACCAUGCAUUGCUAUGGAAACAGCAGCUUGAAGCUAGUCCUUCUCUUAAACCAGACAUACACUUCUCCAGUGGAAAACGGCCAUUAAAGUCAAAAGCCUGCUCUACACUAGCUGCAGCUGGUAAUAAGAGUUUUCCAGGCAAAUUGUGUGCCCUCCCAAUUUACCCAUAUAUCAAAGUAAUACUCUCACCUUAGCCUCAGCCAGUUCUUGCCUCUUCAAAUGUUUCUAUAAUUAAAUUGAGCAUGAAAUUAGAAAAUAUUAAAAAUGUCAAUUUUUUUCAAGAAUACUAUAUGGAUGCAUAUAUUGCAGGUAAUUGGAAUAAUUUACAUUAUAAUAUUGUUGUAAUGAUAUUAGUGUUAAAUUGCUGCAUUUUAGAUAUUAAAAAGACUCAUAUAGACUUACAGUAUUUCAAAUGUACAACAUAAAAAUGUAAGUACUGCACUGUAUUUUUAUUUCAACAAUUCAAAUGUAUUAAUACUUUAGAUGGUGCUGUUUAUUACUCAGUUCUUUUUAUUUUAUUAUUAUUAUCUGCUCUGCACUUAUCUGCUCUGCACUUGUGAUAACAUUGUGUACUUAAUACUGUAAGAAGGUCUCUGUGUUGUGGUGUGCUGCUUGUGCAGUGUGUCGUGUGGAUCGUCACCAUGCAGUAUUGCAUGUUUGUCAUAUGUGGACUAUGUCUGUGACUUUGUGUGUGAGUAAUGAAUCGCACAGAGCAUCAGCUUUCCUUGUGUGUGUUUAUGUGUGUGUGUGUGUGUGUGUGUGUGUGUGUGUGUGUGUUUGUGUGGCAAGAGCAAAAAGGGGAGAAUAGACAGACCAAACUGCCUGUGAAAUUUCAUCCCAGGACCUACUGGUGUGUGUGUGUGGACUUUUGAGAGCAUUUAAAGUAAAAUUUAAUGUGUAAGUGAGCCAUAAUUAAACUAUAAAAAAAAAUAUCAGUGUUUAUUUAAGUUUAGUUUAAACUCAAAAUUGUCAGGACUUUGGGCGCGCUUUCAUCAGAUUUGACAGACACAGACCCAGUGACCCACCAGUUUUCCAUCACAUUCUGAUUCAAAUGUGGCCAACUUGAGUGAACAUAAAGAAACAAAUCAAAUUUUAAAUAAUCUUUCACAGAAAGAUCCCAUCAAUAAUCCUAAAAUCCAAGAGGAAAUAAGUUUUUAGGCCCUUUAAAGGUUAUAAAUGAUAUACCUUUGUAUUGUGUCAGGUAUUUGCUGAGCUGAUUCUGAAUUCAACCCUAAAGGAAUCCACCUUAUGUUCAGCCUGCUGAGGCUAAAACAUGUUCUCUAAACUGUUGGGGAUGAUGCAGAGAGUCUCACGGCUCACACCACUGCUGUUGUGAUGAAAUAGUUUGAGUUGUGUUAAAGUUACUCAGUAAUCUAGUUUUAACACAUGCGUUGUAUUGUAGACCAGUAGAGUUACAGAGCACUUACAGGUUGCUUAACACCAG